UGGUGACGUAAGUUUGUUUCCGAGCGUUGCCAUGCCCACAAACCUCUAACAGCUGCUACGCCCAUACUAUGGAUUUUUUUUUUUAUGUGUUUGACUAACGCCUACUCCACUUUUGGAAAACCCAACUAGUUUUUUGGGAAACCAGCUUUGAAUGUCUAAAUUUCAUACGCUCAUAACUUUAGAACACCUGACACUAUGUACUGUGCUAUAUGUCGCUGAAACUCUGUUAAACGUAGAUCAGGUGUCAAAACCAUGUGCAGUUGUGCAAAUAGAAAAGAAAAUACAAUAUCUUAAAUUUAUUAUUUUCAUAAAACGCGCUGAAUGACUAAAUUUGUAUUUCAUCGCCGUUUGCCGAAGCAAAAAUUUAACCAAAGCGACGCAAAAAUCAGGAAGAUGACGCCACGAAAAUAUUGUACGGGUAUGCGAAUAUAUUUGCCUGCCUAUUUGAAGCUCCAAGCGGCUGAGACGGGUUGAAUGGCUUUUAUUCAAUACUCCCCACAUAAGAUCGGUCUCCUCGAGGAUAUAUAUACGUUGUAUAUAUGUUGUAUAAAUUAGAUUUUUAAGAUUAAUUUUGUUGCUUGGACUCC